rnacentral:misc_RNA from 1 species
UACGGAGGAUCCAAGCGUUAUCCGGAAUCAUUGGGUUUAAAGGGUCCGUAGGCGGGCAGUUAAGUCAGUGGUGAAAGUCUUCCGCUCAACGGGAGAACUGCCAUUGAUACUGAUUGUCUUGAGUUAUUAUGAAGUGGUUAGAAUGAGUAGUGUAGCGGUGAAAUGCAUAGAGAUCUGGAGGAAUACCGAUUGCGAAGGCAGAUCACUAAUAAUACACUGACGCUGAUGGACGAAAGCGUAGGUAGCGAACAGG